UGUUGACACUAUUGAAGGCAUAAGGUUGUGUACACAAUCCAAAACAUCACACAUUUUAUGUUCAUCAAGGCAAUUAAAGGUUUUUAGGUACUAAAAUCAAAUCUGAAAGGCAUUCUUUUGAUAAUGAAACUGGAACAGAUGUAGAUUCAACUGUCAUUUGUCUACACUCUAUUGCUAGUGAAGGUGACUCGAUAUAAUCCCUUGAAACAUAGGAAACUUGAAAGCAAUUACCACUCUUGAGCUUGAUGGGGUCUGGGAGACAGUACCCUUUUUGCUGUUUUCACAUCAAUAUAUUGAGGAUAGAAUAUACGGUUAGGUAGCUGGGCAUUGUAGCUGGAAGGCCUUCUCGGGUUGUUUUCCAUCGAUUGUUGAAUGGUGAGGGACAUCAGCAGGCAUCUUUUCAGCAGAGAGACUUGUUUCAUCAAACACUUUAAUGACUUCUUGGUAAACAAUGGCAUUACCGUCUGGUGUGAGAUGUAAGCCAUCACUGAGGAAUUUUUUUUGCCAACCCUCUGUUUCCUGCAUUUUAGACCACAGAUUGACGGAAGGGAGACCUAGCUCCUUUGCCAAUUCAACACACUGUUUUGCAUACUCUCCGGCUACUUCAUUUGUCCUUUCUGGCAAUUGCAUUGCUUUGUCUCCAUACUGGGACCUUGCAUAUUCAAACCGUCCUGCUUCAUCAAUUGGUGGUGGAGUUAUCAGCAAUAACAGCACCGAUGGGGAGCAUUUCUUAAAAUGUUGUAUCAUUUUUCGUAGGUUUUCCUUAUAUUCCUCAAGUGGGACAUGUUGUCUUUCACUGGUUCUUCCCAAAAGAGCAGCAUCAUUGGCUCCAAAAAAUAUAGUGACAGCAACAGGAUGUGUUGGAGCGUUCAAUGGAAAUAGGUGAUGCAGCAAGAACAAUGCCCAUCUGGUGUUGUAUCCGCCAUAGCCACGAUUCAAUAUAUCAGCCUUGCGAGCAUAAGUAUCAGCAAGAGCAGCACCCCAACCACCUAACUUAAAGGAUUGUUGAGUAAUGGAGUCUCCAAAUAUUACUAUUUGUGGCCUCAUUCACUUAAACUAAAUUCUUCGAUGUUUUUGUUUUUCCUGUUUUUUCUUUGCACAAUGAGACCACAAAUUCGGGUGAUCGAAGGGA
rnacentral:misc_RNA from 1 species